UGAUCAGUGUGUCAUCAUUACAAGCUGGAUGCUGUGUCACAGUCUGCAAACAGAGAAGGAAAUUAUUGAGUUAACAGAUCUCCAAACCCAGCGUCAAAGAGCCAUCACACUCAAGAGGGCAGGGCUGAUUUAUCCGGUGAAUUCUCACAGCCUCUGCUUGCACAUCCUGCACAAAGCUCAAGCGGAUGCAUCUCCAGUCCAGCAGGGACAGCACAAGCACGUGUGAGUGGUUUCAGUCUCCUCAAGUCUCCCAUUUCAUUACUCCAGGGUAAUUAGGUUAUUUUCUCAUACAAAGCGGUUCAAAGCCAGGCAGUGCAAUCCUUCCCAGUACAAGUUCCAGAGCUCCAUGUGACGCAGCAUUCCCUGUCAGACGCGGCUGGGCAGUAGGUCUGGGCUGGGCAGAGCACACAC